UGGGGAGCAAACAGGAUUAGAUACCCUGGUAGUCCACGCCGUAAACGAUGUCUACUUGGAGGUUGUGCCCUUGAGGCGUGGCUUCCGGAGCUAACGCGUUAAGUAGACCGCCUGGGGAGUACGGCCGCAAGGUUAAAACUCAAAUGAAUUGACGGGGGCCCGCACAAGCGGUGGAGCAUGUGGUUUAAUUCGAUGCAACGCGAAGAACCUUACCUGGUCUUGACAUCCACRGAASWWUYCAGAGAUGGAYUKGUGCCUUCGGGAACYGUGAGACAGGUGCUGCAUGGCUGUCGUCAGCUCGUGUUGUGAAAUGUUGGGUUAAGUCCCGCAACGAGCGCAACCCUUAUCCUUUGUUGCCAGCGGUCCGGCCGGGAACUCAAAGGAGACUGCCAGUGAUAAACUGGAGGAAGGUGGGGAUGACGUCAAGUCAUCAUGGCCCUUACGACCAGGGCUACACACGUGCUACAAUGGCGCAUACAAAGAGAAGCGACCUCGCGAGAGCAAGCGGACCUCAUAAAGUGCGUCGUAGUCCGGAUUGGAGUCUGCAACUCGACUCCAUGAAGUCGGAAUCGCUAGUAAUCGUGGAUCAGAAUGCCACGGUGAAUACGUUCCCGGGCC
rnacentral:rRNA from 1 species